rnacentral:rRNA from 1 species
GAUGAACGCUGGCGGCGUGCCUAAUACAUGCAAGUCGAGCGAACAGACGAGGAGCUUGCUCCUCUGACGUUAGCGGCGGACGGGUGAGUAACACGUGGAUAACCUACCUAUAAGACUGGGAUAACUUCGGGAAACCGGAGCUAAUACCGGAUAAUAUAUUGAACCGCAUGGUUCAAUAGUGAAAGACGGUUUUGCUGUCACUUAUAGAUGGAUCCGCGCCGCAUUAGCUAGUUGGUAAGGUAACGGCUUACCAAGGCAACGAUGCGUAGCCGACCUGAGGGGGUGGUCGGCCAAAGUGGGACCGAGACACGGCCCAAGCUCCUACGGGGGGCAGCAGUAGGGAAUCUUCGGCAAAAGAGGAAAGGCUGACCGGGCCACGGCGCGUGGGGUAAGAAGGUUCUCGGAUUGUAAAACUCUGUUGAUAGGGAAGAAAAAAAGGGGAAGGGAAAAGCGCAGGUCGGGACGGUACCUAACCAGAAAGCGACGGCAAACUACGUG